rnacentral:rRNA from 1 species
GACGAACGCUGGCGGCGUGCUUAACACAUGCAAGUCGAACGAAGAGCGAUGGAAGCUUGCCUCUAUCAAUCUUAGUGGCGAACGGGUGAGUAACGCGUAAUCAACCUGCCCUUCAGAGGGGGACAACAGUUGGAAACGACUGCUAAUACCGCAUACGAUCUGACCUCGGCAUCGAGGAUAGAUGAAAGGUGGCCUCUAUUUAUAAGCUAUCACUGAAGGAGGGGAUUGCGUCUGAUUAGCUAGUUGGAGGGGUAACGGCCCACCAAGGCGAUGAUCAGUAGCCGGUCUGAGAGGAUGAACGGCCACAUUGGGACUGAGACACGGCUCAGACUCCUACGGGAGGCAGCAGUGGGGAAUCUUCCGCAAUGGACGAAAGUCUGACGGAGCAACGCCGCGUGAGUGAUGACGGCCUUCGGGUUGUAAAGCUCUGUUAAUCGGGACGAAAGGCCUUCUUGCGAAUAGUUAGAAGGA